rnacentral:lncRNA from 1 species
UUGUCAUGGAUUUAUUAGGACAGUUCAACUAUAUAUCAACCGGCCUAUGAAUUUGCAUUCAUCGACAAUGUCUCAUUAAUGUCCAAGAUAAAAACAUAGAAGGGCAACCAUCAUAUGUUUUCUCCAAAUGGCAACUGGGCUACCAGACGCCAACUGUAAUAAAUUCAGCCAUUCAGUAAAUCAAUAUAUUCAGUUCAUAUUCUGUCCAAUCCAUGACGCUUCUUUAACGAUAUCUGAAAAUAUACAACAGAGAGCAGAAAAUAUUCUCAAGGGUGGGAUAGGGUGGGUUUUUGUGUUCCUUCAGUUCAAAUCACGCAAUGAACAAAUCACGAAAAGCAUGCAAUUUUAUACCAAAUAAAAGCGGGAAAACCGCUUACGAAAUUAUGUAGGUAAAUGAAAGACGCUCAAGUCCUUCAAAAUUAAAGAAAAGAUAACUCUAGUUUAGCAGACGAUAAUCUUAAUUUAUUAAAUUGAUUUAAU